AGAGGCUCAAGUCGACAGACGACGGCGUAAAGAGUGGUUAAGGAAAACAUUUAACUAAAGCGGAACACCCUCAUAGCUGUUAUACGCUUCCGAGGGCAUGAACCCCAACUACGAAGGUGGCUUUACACUACCUGAACCCACGAAAGCUAAGAAACAAACUGGGAUUAGAUACCCCACUAUGCUUAGCCUUAAACAUUGAUUGUUUACCACAUCAAACAUCCGCCUGGGAAUUACGAACACUA
rnacentral:rRNA from 1 species